CCUGAUCCUGUUUUCUCCUUCUUCGUGUUUCUGCUAACUGUUGCAAGCACCUGUGGAUGUUUGGCGAGCGGUGAGGUUGCGAUCAAGCAUAGCCAUGUGCUGCUCGAACGUAUUCGUGAUUCACAUAGAAAAUUUAGUUUCUGCAGCGAUGACUGCUUCUUUUUUCUUCUUCUCCACUCGUGGAUGCUUCUUUCUUUAAUUUCGUCUUCUUAGCUUAAUUCCUAACUACAUGUCUCCAUGUACGUGUGCGUGUGUGUAUGUUUGAAUGUCCAUGAAGACUUACGUAUGCAUGCAGGCAUAGAUCUGAGAAGAAGAUACCAGUUGGCCAUGGUAGCAUCGUCUCUCUUGGUCAUGUCAUGGUGUGUUGGAGAACCAAGUGUAUUAGGUAUCUCUCACCAGCGACAACAGCGCUGCUUCUGCCACGGCUGGGGCGUGGGCCCGACGGAGCAGGCCCCAACCACGCAUCGUCCCUUCUCACUCUUCGACCAUGUCAAGCCGCCGUGGCUGGAAUCGUAUCUCCUCCUGUCUUCCCCUGCGUUCCUCUCUAUCUCAAUCCUCGCAUGGCUAAGCGUUCGCAUCAACACAACUACACUGUUGUUGUCUCUCUCUCUCUCUUCUCUCUCUCUCUCUCUCUCUCUCUCUGAAGAUUCACUUCUGUCUCCGUAAGGAUGGAGGACGCACUUCCAUUAGCACCAGCAAAGGCUUACCACUCCUUGGGUCGGCUCCGUUUCGCUAGUCACGUUUCCCGUAUCCCUUUUUCUCCUGCAUCUCUUAUUGAAACCCUCCCAAUUCUCCAUCCCGGACAAUCGAUUCGAUAGAAGCAGGAUGGGUGCGAAGAUGGGAUCGGGGAGGUCGGAAUGGCGGUCGUCAGGUCCUCGCGCGGAGCCAUCACGACAAGGCCGUAUUCAUUCGCCCUCAUCUCCACAGGCACCAGCGCCAUCUCCGGUGAUCCUCCAACUGUUUGCUUGUUCCCUUCUUUUUUGUCUUUUUCCUCCAAUUUUUAGAUCGAAGCCCGAGCUUCCAAUUCGGUUUAGAUAAGGUUCGAGUUUGGUGUUAGAUGAUAAUAAUAACAUGAAAAAGAUUCUUUCUUGAUGGGCGAGGGUUUCUGGGUGGUAGUCUUCCAGAGAAAGAUAGGACUUCGAUGAACUCAGGAAUCGUGAUCCAACUUUUGUUGCUUCGAUUUAAAUGGGUAAGAGGUGGGAAUUGAUGGAUGCAACGAGCUGGAGGAUGCUUACCCAUGGGGGAUUUGAUUUGCUAUUGGUUAAUGUCCUGGAUCUCAAUGAGCCCGAGGAAGAGACUUUUCAUACUCCAGAGCAAGUAUAAGAAUCUUAAGGGCCUGGUUGAAAAUUGAGGGCUCUUCAUUGGCAUAUAGGUACGAGUUGCUGUCGCUUGUUGUUCCUUCAGGUACUAUUCUAUUAUCAGUUGAUUAGAAUCAAACUCUGUGGAUCUAGUCCUUUGCAUCGGUUCUGUUAAAGCACAAAAAGAAGAUAUAGCUUAAACCAUGCUGAUUCCACCACGACUAGUGUGGAAGCUUUUCUACAAAAGGAUUUUAACUCAUUUUAGUGGGGUGUAAAUGGUGAGUAUCACACGAACAGAGAGUAACAAUUCUGCAGUUAAUAAACAAUAUUCCAAGCAUAGUGAAUGAUUUAAAUGUUGAGUUGCCUGUGAUAGGACUGGCUUAUUAUAGCAUUUGGACAAGUGAUUAUCCAGUGGUGUGGUCCUAUGGACCAUAUGGAAUGACAUGCUUGUCUGUAAUGAUACAGACUCCAUAUGUCAGCGAAACUGAUGGCACCUAUGUUCUGUUCUCUUGGAAAUCUGGGGCAGAAGUGGAAAGAAACUUUUCUAGGCAAGUUAUUGGAUCCAUAAACCCUGGCAAUUUAUUGCUCAUUUGUUAUGACAUGUCAAUUCUAUUACACUCUCCUUUUGCAAAAACAAGAUGUCAAGUACAUCAUCAAUAUGGUCAGGAUAUGUUGCUAUCUGUUGAAUGAAACAAGAGCAACUAGUUUUGCUCUCCCACUGUAAAUUAGUGGUUCUUUAAAAUAGUGAGGAAACAAAGAGUUAAACAGAAAAUUAACUUGCACAUGGAUUACAAAUCUAAACUGGUUUACCAUUAACCUGAGCUAUUAACUGAAACAUAGCAAAGAGUUGACUUGCAUGGUGACUGGCAUCAAAGGCUAAUAUGUAAAUAAAAACGAUUAGCGCCAAUUUAACAAACUGAAGCUAUAUUUUAAUUGUUCAAAUCAACUUAGCUCAAACUGCCAAUAGGUUCAUCAACACGGUACAGUUGGGGGGUCAUGAAAAGGUAUAAUGAAGAAAAUCAUGGCAUUUGAAGAAUAUUAAGGAUGUACUUAAUGUGAUUUCUCAUAAUCUGAUUGAGAUAUUUAUCCUUUUCUAUCUCUACAUGUUUAUAAGGUUAGUUUAGGAUGAACCUUGCUGCCUCACAAGUCGUAAAAUGCGGAUGGACCUGUAAAUGAUUUCUUCACACGAAGCAGCGGUAGGCUGUUGCAAAAGACAGCAAGCACCCCCUGGAGAAGGAAGAGGAAUGAUUAGACAAAGAAGAUCAAAGAAGGGGAGGUUAGAAGUUGGAAGAAGCAGAGGAGAUGAAGAGGGGGCACCUGAAACUUUGUGAUUCUUUUCCUCUUUAAGCAUUUUGAACCUGUCAUUUCCUUAUAUUGAUGUGGAGGUGGAUAAUCCCUCUGAGCCUUGAUGACACCUGUAUUGUCUAGUUUAUGAGACCUAGCUUAAUUAAACAACUUCCUUUGUUUCGCUUGCUUUUUUUUUCUCACUUUGGCAAGCAACUUCUGAUCCAAUGAUUCUUGACCAUGUUGUGGUAAUGGACAAACUUGGAAACAAAUUGUAUGUAAUUCCUAGAGCUAGUUAUGAGGAUGAAAUAAACAGAUUUUAUUGAGUCUUUAAA